rnacentral:rRNA from 1 species
AAGUCGUAACAAGGUUUCCGUAGGUGAACCUGCGGAAGGAUCAUUACUGAGGGCGUGUGGGUUUUAAUAACUCCGCGAACCCCCCAACCCUUUGUCUAUCAUCCUAUUAUAGUUUGUUUGGGGCACGGUUUUGUGGGCUUUAAGUCUUAAGAAGACUCCAAACCAAAUCUCACGGCUCCAAAAGAAAAAACUACUCAAGUUUAAAACUCAAAUAUUUAUGUUCGUCUGAAAUUAAAUAAAACAAGCAAAACUUUCAACAACGGAUCUCUUGGUUCCGGCAUCGAUGAAGAACGCAGCGAAAUGCGAUAAGUAAUGUGGACUGCAGUACUCAGCGACUCAUCGAAUCUUUGAACGCAUAUUGCGCCCCUUGGUAUCCCAAGGGGCACACCUGUUCGAGCGUCAUUAUACAUCUCAUCAAGCUUAGCUUGGUUUUGGGCUGUUAUCUGCUUUACGUAGAAGCCUAAAAGAUAGUGAAGGUUCAGUUAAAUGUUCCAGUGUAGUCAUAAUUAAUCGCUGUAGUAAUGUUUUUUUGAACUUAGUCAAAACACAAUGAUGUCCAGGGUUUUCUGCGGGCGGAGAACUUGGUUGGAUGUCCCGAAUUAUUGACCUCGAAUCAGGUGAGGAUACCCGCUGAAUUUAA